UUCUCGCCCUGUUUUAAAAAAACAUGUCUUAAUGAUUAUAUUUAUUAAGUCUGGCCUGCUCAAUGAUUUUUAUAAUUUAAUAGCCGCAGUAUAUUGACUGUGCGAAGGUAGCAUAAUCAUUUGUCUUUUAAUUGAAGGCUUGAAUGAAUGGUUUGAUGAAAAAGUUUCUUUCUUUAUAGUAUAUAUAUAACUUAAUUUUUUAGUUAAAAAGCUAAAAUAUAUAAAUGGGACGAGAAGACCCUAUAGAAUUUUAUUUUAUUUAUUAUUAAAUUAUUUUUGUAUUUAUAUAAUUUAUUUAUAGAUAAAAUUUUGUUGGGGUGAUAGUAGAAUUUUAUAAACUUCUAUAAAUUAUUUUUUAUUGAUGAUUAUAAUUAAGAUCCUAUUUUAUGGAUAUUUAGAUUAAAUUACCUUAGGGAUAACAGCGUAAUUUCUUUUUAGAGUUCUUAUCGAUGAAGAAGUUUGCGACCUCGAUGUUGGAUUAAAAUUAGAUUUAAGUGCAGAAGCUUAUUUUUCUAGGUCUGUUCGACCUUUAAAAUUUUACAUGAUUGGUUUUAAAACCG
rnacentral:rRNA from 1 species